CCUACGGGGGGCUGCAGUGGGGAAUUUUGGACAAUGGGGGCAACCCUGAUCCAGCCAUGCCGCGUGCGGGAAGAAGGCCUUCGGGUUGUAAACCGCUUUUGUCAGGGAAGAAAUCUUCCGAGCUAAUACCUUGGGAGGAUGACGGUACCUGAAGAAUAAGCACCGGCUAACUACGUGCCAGCAGCCGCGGUAAUACGUAGGGGACUAGCGUUGCUCGGAAUUAGCGGGGGCGGUGGUGGCGCAGGCGGUUGAAAUCCCCGGGCUUAACCUGGGAACUGCACUUGUGACUGUACGGCUGGAGUACGGCAGAGGGGGAUGGAAUUCCGCGUGUAGCAGUGAAAUGCGUAGAUAUGCGGAGGAACACCGAUGGCGAAGGCAGUCCCCUGGGCCUGUACUGACGCUCAUGCACGAAAGCGUGGGGAGCAAACAGGAUUAGAUACCCCUGUAGUC
rnacentral:rRNA from 1 species